rnacentral:lncRNA from 1 species
ACACCUGCUGUACAGAAGAUGUAUGGUUUCCUGAUAGGCCUGAUGAACAAUUCGGAUAUGAAAUCUUCAGAGCCUCCAGGGUAUCCAGAAGUAUCUAAGUUGAGUAGGAAGAACAGACUUGUAUAAGCCCAUCAUGGUCUCCAAAUGGGAAAUGAUGUAAAUGAACUCGACAUGGCAGAUCCAGAGCCUCUCUCAGAUGGAGGAUCUUGCUGAUGAGUCUUUUCUCCAACGUUGAGGGGUUUGGCAAUAGAGGACUAGGAUUGCAAAAGCCUGUGUCCUCAGCAAUUGUCGUCAAUAAUGCCAGGCCUUCAUGUCUGUUGGACGCAGCUGAGGUGGCCUGCAAAUUUUUUUUAUCUAGAUUAAUUGGCCAAUUCAUCUAUUCCUCAUCGGUAGAAUCCAAUUGCCCAUGUUCAUGGAUGCAUCGGUUGUAGAAGACGAACAAAUCGAGACCUUUAAUGGUGACACAUCAAAGCGAUGAACGGGCACAUUGGAGAAGGACAAUGCACGGUGAAGGAUGCUUGGCGCCAUCCU